GAUCAGAGGGUUCACUCAGUGGCAAGGCAGUGCCCAGAGCUACCUGUGUCUUGCUCAGUUCCUCAGAAUUGUGGAACACUCUAUACCAGACUUCCACACUGGCUCAUGUUUCUGAAAAAUGGUCCCCGGAGGCCCGAAGCCUCUGCCACAUGGGGUGUGGGAUGUUCCUGGGCCUGGCACAGACAACAGUUCUGGCCACAGGCCCAGCAUUGAAACAGGAGGAGCGGAAGUCUCCUUUCAAGGCUGAGAGGCCAGAGAGGGCUGGAACCACUGCCCAGCACCGUGCCUUCUGGGGGUGUGGCAUUGGCCCAGAACCAGGACUCUCUCCUGAGGGUUGGGAGGCUGCACUCUAGUACCUGGGGUUACCCACCAAGGGCCUUGGCCUGGGUCCUGUGGAUUCUCUAGGCAGAGAGAUUGAAUGAAGCAGGCAGUGACGGGAAAGCUGGUCUUGGAGGUACCUUAAGGUAAGGAAUUCAGGCUGUGCAGACAUACUUCUCUUUGGGGCUUCAUGGGCCUAUGAAAGCUCUUCUUGACAAACCCCAUCCUUCCAUAACUCCAGUGAAGGAAUUCAUCCUCACAUACAUCGGGCUUUGUUCAGCCAGGUAUGGUGGCACUCAUAUUUAAUGACAGCACUGAGGAGGCAAAGGCAAGCCAAUAUUUGAAUUUGAGGCCAGCCUGGUCUACAUAGGAACUUUUAGAUUAGCUGGAGUGACACAAGUGAGACCCUGUCUCAAAAAAAAAAAAAAAAA
rnacentral:lncRNA from 1 species